ACCUCAGGCUCUACCUCCUCGCUGUUGUCAGGACCUCAUGUUUGUGCAGAUCUCCCGGACACCCUGCUUCAUGAGAUCAUUGCUCUUUUUAAUUCUUUCCACGACUUCCUUGCUUUUAUAGGCACUUGCCGCUCUUGGCGCGCUGCAUUUUCUUCCUUCCCCUCCAUUUAUACCUCCAACUUUCCGCCUUUGCACCUAAAGCCAGAUCUUUAUGCUCGUCCGCAUAGCCGUGGUAUUAAGCCCGUCCUUUUAUCUGACUGCAAAUGGAAGCUGAGUGAUCCUACCCAGAAAAGCGUAUCCCUUUGCUGUUCUGUGCCCCAAAACACUCCAAAUCAGAUGCACUAUUUGGGCUGCUCAUAUGGGUAUCUUAUCUUCUCCUAUGAGGAGCACUGCCUCCUUGUCGAUGUGCACAAUGGUACCAAGGUGAAGCCCCCCAAACUUCCAUCCAACAACCGCCUUGGGUACUUUUGUGGCAUAGGCAUUCUUACAGGUCCACUUAGUUCACCCAACUCACGCCUCCUCCUGUGCACGGGAACCUCCAUGUUUGAGUGGCAGGUUGGAACAAACUCCUGGUCAGAACACCCUCUUGCCCUUAAAAGGGAACGCAUCCAUCAGAUAGUGUUCUUCAAAGGUGUCAUCUUUGUCAUGGAUGUUCUUGUGAGGCUCCACACUAUACACUUAUCACCUGAAUUCAGUAUGCAAAAAAUAAAAAUCGCGCGGGACCUUGAAUCCUUUUUUAUUAGCCCAUGGUUGGUGGUCUCUGGUGACAUGCUUCUCAUGCUUGACCUUCGCAUAGGAUCUGACGAGUUGAAUGAUGACUUGUGUUAUCACUUCUUUAAGGUCUUUCACCUUGACUUUUCUGUCGAGCCAGCCAAGUGGGUGAAGAUGGAGAAGCUGGAAAAUCAAGCUCUGUUUGUUAGCCUUGAUAGGAGGAAUCCUGCAUUUUCUUGCAUGAGCCCUGAAAGAUGGGGAGGAAAAAGUAACUGUGUUUAUGUUGCCAAGCUAUUUGAUGACCCCGAUGAAACUUGGACUGCUGUUGAGGUUGGGCAGCGAGUGCGAAAAGAAACUGUUCACAGCCUUUACUAUGGUCUUUCAUUCCCGUCGGACUACAGUCAUCUUGCUAGCCUCUGGCUGUACCCGAGUUUAGUCUAUGGUACUAGCCAGUGA
rnacentral:rRNA from 1 species